GCCUUCUUAGCUUAGAUGGUAGAGCGGCGAAAAGUCAUUGGUAGAGCGUUCGCUUUGUAAGCGAAAGGUCAUUGGUUCGAUUCCGAUAGAAGGCU